rnacentral:lncRNA from 10 species
GAAAGUUGUAGACCAGAUUAAUAGCGUUGUACCAAUGUUAAUGACUUUGAUUAUUAUACUCUGGUUAUAUAAGUGGAUGGCCUCAUCUUUAGGAAAUAUGCACCUGAAAUAUUUCAGGGUAAAGGGGCAUGGUGUCUGCAUCUUUCCCUCAUUUUUUCCAAGUUUGAAAUUAUUUUAAACUAAAAAGUUAAAGAGCCUUUUGCCCUAACUCAGCCUCCAAAUAGCAGCACUUCCCUUUGGUUAUGGAAUCUUGACACAGGCCAAGGAUUGAAAGGAGGGCUGCAAUGUUCUAGGAGGUGGAACUGGGUGCUCACCUGCUUGUUUGGAAACCCUUCAUAGUUAGAUCAGAGUUCUAAACCAGACCCUUUCUGUCUAGGAGGGAAUUGGUUCUACUUAGGCCUUAAAAGGGUCCAAGACCCUUGUUAACCUCAGAGGAGGGAAACUUGAAGGAGAAAACCAUGAUGACCCUUAUAUUUUCUUACCUUGUCUCUGUCCUCUUAGUGAAAGGAACCUCUUGGUGGUUCAGAUAAGGACAGGCAGUGUGAUGCCUUGGAAAGGGUUGGAGUGAAGAAAUAGGAUGUGGCCUAAAAGCUGUUGAAUGCACAGGGCUUGCCCAGAGGGUCUGGAGCUGCGCGAUGCCCAAGCUGGGAUUAGACUAUUCUGCAUUUUGUCCCACAACCCACUCAAAUAGCUUAAAUUAAAGGGAGGAUUUUCUGAAAGGUUGUAGGAGUCUCAUGGAACUCAAGGGAGGGGAAGUGUCACUGGCUCUGAUGCGUAGGGAAACCACAUGUUUCAGUUGGCCCUGGGCAGUCUUGGUGGAUGCUUGUGGUCCCAGCACAGUUAUUAAUAGUGCCUCUCCUUAUUCUCAAAAGUGUCCUGUUUGAUUGAUACAUCAUAUGACUGUGUUGUCACAGGAUUAGAAUCAGGAACCCGGGCCAUCUCUCACUGCCCCUCCCAUGCCACCUCAUGGUUCUCUGCACAUUUGCUUUUUUCUGUCUCUCACCUCUGUUUUUGUCUGUCUCUCCCUCCUCUGGUUUCCUCUGUUCUGAUUCCUAAGAGAGGGAGUCUUGUAUUGGAAACACGGUGGCAAGUCCUCACAGAAGGAAGUAGCAGGUCUGGCUGACACUCUGAGGGGCCCCUACUCCUGAAGUUGGUCAGGGACUGAGAUGGGAAAAGAAAAGGACUCAGGGGAAGGGGAAUUAGGUCCCUGGUUUCCAGCAGUGAUCUUGAAGUUCUCCCCAACUUGAAGAUCCUAGUAUAUUCUUCCUAUUCCAUUCCUUUCCAUUUGUAUUUGUCACCUUGGGGCUGUUUCACCUGGGUCUUCUAGUUGGAUGACACAAACUGCUGUGGAAUUGGGCCUAUGCCAUGAGCAGGAGUGUUGUGGCUGGCUCCAGCUCCCUGGUGGUCUUCAUCCAUACCCCUGCUCUCUACCUCUGCUUCUUCCUGGCUCCUACACCCUCCUGCCUUGGCCUUUCUGGUUUGGCUCCCUUGCUCCCCCACUCUGCCCUGGUGUACUCUUUGUGCUUCUAUCUCUGCUGCAGAAUUCUUAAGGUAGAAUCAGCUUGCUCUGGCCCUCAGGGCUAUGAAAGCCCCUCCCAGCAGGAGCUGGGACUGAGAAGAAAAACCAGACAGAGGCGGGAGGGAAGGCAUCCUGAGGCCCCCAAAAAGCAUGGCAGGAUCUCUCAAAGCAGAAAAGGAUCUAGGGCUAGGCCUGUGCUGUGCAAUAGGGCAGCCACUAGCCACACGCAGCUAUUUAAAUUAUCAUUAAGUCUUUUGAACCUGGGAGGCAGAGGUUGCAGUGAGCCGAGAUCGCGCCACUGCACUCCAGCCCUGGCGACAGAGUGAGACUCCAUCCCAAAAAACAAUUAAAAAAAAAUCACUAAGUUAAUUAAGUUUUAAUUUUUUGAGACAGAGUCUCGCUCUGUCACCCAGGCUGGAGUGCAGUGGGACGAUCCUGGCUCACUGCAGCCUUGACCGCCUAGGCUCAAGCAAUCCCCCUGCCUCAGCCUCCCAUGUAGUUGGGACUAUAGGCAUGCAGUGCCACACCAGGUUAAUUUUUGUGUUUUUAGUAGAGAUGGGGUUUCAUUAUGUUGCCCAGCCUGGUCUCAAACUCUUGAACUCAGGAGAUCCUCCCACCGUGGCCUCCCAAAGUGCUGGGAUUACAGGUGUAAGCCACCGUGCCUGGCCCCUUGAAGUUAAGUAAAAUACAAAACUCAGUUGCACCAGCCACAUUUCAAGUGUUUGCUUGGCCACAAGUGGCUGUGGCUUCUGUGUUGGAUGGCACAGAUGUAGCACAUGUCAUCGUCACAGAAGUUCCGUCAGCCAGCACUGGAGAGCACUUGCUCCCUUUUCACCCAAGCGCUAUUUAAAGUGGUUUCUUUGUGUGUUCUAGUAGCUGCCACAAGUGCUCUUAGAGAAUAGAUUGGAUGGGUGAAAAGAAAGCAUGAUUUGUAUUAGGUUGGUGCAAAAGUAAUUGUGGUUUUUGCCAUUAAAAGUGAUAGUGAAUGGAACAUUUCAGUUGCCUUUACCACUGGCCAGUAAGUCAGGAUGUUUUCAUAGUGCCUUUUAUCAUAGAAUUCUAGUAUGUUCCUGCUAAUGGAGACUUUCCUAUCAUUCUAGGGCUGGAUUUCCCUAACUCCAGUUAUUCUGCUGCUGCCGCCAUCAUUUUUGCCACAUCCUAGGACUGCAUGUGCUAUUUAUUCCACGUUGUCUUUUAAAUUGGUUCAUGUUUUUACUUCAGAAUUUUUUUGAGACAUUUCGCUCUUGUUGCCCAAGCUGGAGUGCAAUGGCAUGAUCUCGGCUUAUGCAACCUCUGCCUCCCAGG